UUUAACUUCCUACUCAUUAGGGUCAAGGACUGCUUAGAAAUAGCAUCCUGAUCCCGAAGAGAUCCCUCUAGAGCAGAAGUCGUCAGUAGAGAAGUGGCGGCCAAAGGAGCUGGGGCUUCCGAUCUUGGCACAUAAUCUUGUGUGGGGUGGAAAUGCCUGAAGUCAAAAGAAGCCGGAAAGCACCUCCAGAUGGCUGGGAGUUGAUCAAACCAACACUGGAUGAAUUAGACCAAAAGAUGAGCGAAGCCGAAACAGAGCCUCAUGAAGGAAAGAGGAAAGUGGAAUCUCUGUGGCCUAUCUUCAGGAUCUACCACCAGAAAACCCACUAUAUCUUUGACCUCUUUUACAAGCGGAAAGCCAUAAGCAGAGAACGGUAUGAAUAUUGUAUUAAAGAAGGUUAUGCAGACAAAAACCUGAUUGCAAAAUGGAAAAAGCAAGGCUAUGAGAACUUGUGCUGCCUGCAGUAUUCAGACAUGGGACACCAAUUUUGGAACAAACUGCAUUUGCCGGGUUCUCAAAAGCAAGCUAGAAGUGGGCCGCAUCAUUGACUGCACACACUGUGGCUGCUGGGGCUGCUCUGGCUGAAGCUCCCAAACCAUCUUCACCUAGGACUUUGGACUUUGAGUUGCACCACUCCCUUUUCUGGGAGAAGCUCUUCUUGCAGAGUGGUGUCCCAGGCCCAAGUUGGAGCACAGCCUCUACAGGUGAAGGCUUUGCUGUCUUAUCAGCUGUGAUUGUAAAAAUAAAACAUU